AGACUAUUGCUGUAGUGGAUCUGAUUGGUGGCUACAACAUUGGUACCAUCAGCCAUGAGAGCCGUGUAGAUUGGCUGGAGCUUAAUGAGACUGGGCACAAACUCCUCUUCAGGGACCGGAAACUUCGUUUGCAUCUGUAUGAUAUUGAAAGCUGCUCUAAGACAAUGAUCCUCAACUUCUGCUCCUACGUACAGUGGGUUCCUGGAAGUGAUGUCCUGGUAGCUCAGAACAGAAACAACUUGUGUGUGUGGUACAAUAUUGAGGCACCUGAGAGGGUCACCAUGUUCUCCAUCAGGGGUGACGUCAUAGGUCUGGAGCGCAGCGGGGGAAAGACCCAGGUGAUGGUGACAGAAGGUGUGACCACCGUUGCCUGCACGCUGGAUGAGGGCCUCAUUGAGUUUGGAACAGCCAUCGAUGACGGCAACUACACCCGAGCAACAGUCUUCUUGGAGACCCUACAGAUGACCCCCGAAACAGAGGCUAUGUGGAAAACCUUGAGUAAACUGGCGCUGGAGGCAAGGCAGCUCCACAUAGCUGAGAGGUGCUUUUCUGCUUUGGGUCAUGUGGCAAAAGCUCGAUUCCUGCAUGAGACCAAUGAGAUCGCAGAUCAGGUGUCCUGGGAAUUUGGUGGAGAAGGAACAGACUUCUAUCAGGUCCGAGCACGUCUGGCCAUGCUGGAGAAGAACUACAAACUGGCUGAAAUGAUCUUCUUGGAACAGAAUGCUGUUGAGGAGGCUAUGAACAUGUACCAAGAGCUACACCGUUGGGACGAGUGUAUCGCUGUGGCUGAGGCCAAGGUACAGGAUGUGUCUUCUUCAGACUCUUGAGAAUCUGGUUCCACUGAUUUCGGAAAACUGCUUUUGUCAGGAAAGCUAUUGGAAGCAGGAUAAGUUUGGGGGUCUGAGAGGAUAAGGAGUUGGGAUACGGUGACCUGGGAGGAUUUGCACUGUUACAGAGGGACUGGAGAAGCACGGAAAGCAGGACAAGGAGGGCUCUGAUGCCGGGCUCCUCUGCAUGUGCAGGGACAUCCAGCCCUGGAGAAGCUGCGCCGGGAUUACUACCAGUGGCUGAUGGACACGCAGCAAGAGGAGCGAGCAGGUGAACUUCAGGAGAGCCAAGGGGAUGGGCUGGCAGCCAUCAGCCUGUACCUCAAAGCUGGGCUUCCCGCCAAAGCGGCUC
rnacentral:lncRNA from 1 species